GAUGAACGCUGGCGGCGUGCUUAACACAUGCAAGUCGAACGGGAAAUAUUUCAUUGAGACUUCGGUGGAUUUGAUUUAUUUCUAGUGGCGGACGGGUGAGUAACGCGUGGGUAACCUGCCUUAUACAGGGGGAUAACAGUCAGAAAUGGCUGCUAAUACCGCAUAAGCGCACAGAGCUGCAUGGCUCAGUGUGAAAAACUCCGGUGGUAUAAGAUGGACCCGCGUUGGAUUAGCUAGUUGGUGGGGUAACGGCCCACCAAGGCGACGAUCCAUAGCCGGCCUGAGAGGGUGAACGGCCACAUUGGGACUGAGACACGGCCCAGACUCCUACGGGAGGCAGCAGUGGGGAAUAUUGCACAAUGGGGGAAACACUGAUGCAGCGACGCCGCGUGAAGGAAGAAGUAUCUCGGUAUGUAAACUUCUAUCAGCAGGGAAGAUAGUGACGGUACCUGACUAAGAAGCCCCGGCUAACUACGUG
rnacentral:rRNA from 1 species